rnacentral:rRNA from 1 species
GUUAAGCGACUAAGCGUACACGGUGGAUGCCCUGGCAGUCAGAGGCGAUGAAGGACGUGCUAAUCUGCGAUAAGCGUCGGUAAGGUGAUAUGAACCGUUAUAACCGGCGAUUUCCGAAUGGGGAAACCCAGUGUGAUUCGUCACACUAUCAUUAACUGAAUCCAUAGGUUAAUGAGGCGAACCGGGGGAACUGAAACAUCUAAGUACCCCGAGGAAAAGAAAUCAACCGAGAUUCCCCCAGUAGCGGCGAGCGAACGGGGAGCAGCCCAGAGCCUGAAUCAGUGUGUGUGUUAGUGGAAGCGUCUGGAAAGGCGCGCGAUACAGGGUGACAGCCCCGUACACAAAAAUGCACAUGCUGUGAGCUCGAUGAGUAGGGCGGGACACGUGGUAUCCUGUCUGAAUAUGGGGGGACCAUCCUCCAAGGCUAAAUACUCCUGACUGACCGAUAGUGAACCAGUACCGUGAGGGAAAGGCGAAAAGAACCCCGGCGAGGGGAGUGAAAAAGAACCUGAAACCGUGUACGUACAAGCAGUGGGAGCACGCUUAGGCGUGUGACUGCGUACCUUUUGUAUAAUGGGUCAGCGACUUAUAUUCUGUAGCAAGGUUAACCGAAUAGGGGAGCCGAAGGGAAACCGAGUCUUAACUGGGCGUUAAGUUGCAGGGUAUAGACCCGAAACCCGGUGAUCUAGCCAUGGGCAGGUUGAAGGUUGGGUAACACUAACUGGAGGACCGAACCGACUAAUGUUGAAAAAUUAGCGGAUGACUUGUGGCUGGGGGUGAAAGGCCAAUCAAACCGGGAGAUAGCUGGUUCUCCCCGAAAGCUAUUUAGGUAGCGCCUCGUGAAUUCAUCUCCGGGGGUAGAGCACUGUUUCGGCAAGGGGGUCAUCCCGACUUACCAACCCGAUGCAAACUACGAAUACCGGAGAAUGUUAUCACGGGAGACACACGGCGGGUGCUAACGUCCGUCGUGAAGAGGGAAACAACCCAGACCGCCAGCUAAGGUCCCAAAGUCAUGGUUAAGUGGGAAACGAUGUGGGAAGGCCCAGACAGCCAGGAUGUUGGCUUAGAAGCAGCCAUCAUUUAAAGAAAGCGUAAUAGCUCACUGGUCGAGUCGGCCUGCGCGGAAGAUGUAACGGGGCUAAACCAUGCACCGAAGCUGCGGCAGCGACGCUUAUGCGUUGUUGGGUAGGGGAGCGUUCUGUAAGCCUGCGAAGGUGUGCUGUGAGGCAUGCUGGAGGUAUCAGAAGUGCGAAUGCUGACAUAAGUAACGAUAAAGCGGGUGAAAAGCCCGCUCGCCGGAAGACCAAGGGUUCCUGUCCAACGUUAAUCGGGGCAGGGUGAGUCGACCCCUAAGGCGAGGCCGAAAGGCGUAGUCGAUGGGAAACAGGUUAAUAUUCCUGUACUUGGUGUUACUGCGAAGGGGGGACGGAGAAGGCUAUGUUGGCCGGGCGACGGUUGUCCCGGUUUAAGCGUGUAGGCUGGUUUUCCAGGCAAAUCCGGAAAAUCAAGGCUGAGGCGUGAUGACGAGGCACUACGGUGCUGAAGCAACAAAUGCCCUGCUUCCAGGAAAAGCCUCUAAGCAUCAGGUAACAUCAAAUCGUACCCCAAACCGACACAGGUGGUCAGGUAGAGAAUACCAAGGCGCUUGAGAGAACUCGGGUGAAGGAACUAGGCAAAAUGGUGCCGUAACUUCGGGAGAAGGCACGCUGAUAUGUAGGUGAAGCGACUUGCUCGUGGAGCUGAAAUCAGUCGAAGAUACCAGCUGGCUGCAACUGUUUAUUAAAAACACAGCACUGUGCAAACACGAAAGUGGACGUAUACGGUGUGACGCCUGCCCGGUGCCGGAAGGUUAAUUGAUGGGGUUAGCGCAAGCGAAGCUCUUGAUCGAAGCCCCGGUAAACGGCGGCCGUAACUAUAACGGUCCUAAGGUAGCGAAAUUCCUUGUCGGGUAAGUUCCGACCUGCACGAAUGGCGUAAUGAUGGCCAGGCUGUCUCCACCCGAGACUCAGUGAAAUUGAACUCGCUGUGAAGAUGCAGUGUACCCGCGGCAAGACGGAAAGACCCCGUGAACCUUUACUAUAGCUUGACACUGAACAUUGAGCCUUGAUGUGUAGGAUAGGUGGGAGGCUUUGAAGUGUGGACGCCAGUCUGCAUGGAGCCGACCUUGAAAUACCACCCUUUAAUGUUU